rnacentral:rRNA from 1 species
UACAGAGGUCCCAAGCGUUGUUCGGAUUCAUUGGGCGUAAAGGGUGCGUAGGCGGCGCGGUAAGUCGGGUGUAAAAGUCAAAGGCUCAACCUUUGAAUGCCGGUGGAUACUGUCGGGCUAGAGUCCGGAAGAGGCGAGUGGAAUUCCUGGUGUAGCGGUGAAAUGCGCAGAUAUCAGGAGGAACACCGAUGGCGAAGGCAGGUCUCUGGGCAUUAACUGACGCUGAGGAGCGAAAGCAUGGGGAGCGAACAGG